rnacentral:rRNA from 1 species
GACGAACGCUGGCGGCGUGCUUAACACAUGCAAGUCGAACGGAAAGGCCCUGCUUUUGUGGGGUGCUCGAGUGGCGAACGGGUGAGUAACACGUGAGUAACCUGCCCUUGACUUUGGGAUAACUUCAGGAAACUGGGGCUAAUACCGGAUAGGAGCUCCUGCUGCAUGGUGGGGGUUGGAAAGUUUCGGCGGUUGGGGAUGGACUCGCGGCUUAUCAGCUUGUUGGUGGGGUAGUGGCUUACCAAGGCUUUGACGGGUAGCCGGCCUGAGAGGGUGACCGGCCACAUUGGGACUGAGAUACGGCCCAGACUCCUACGGGAGGCAGCAGUGGGGAAUAUUGAACAAUGGGCGGAAGCCUGAUGCAGCAACGCCGCGUGCGGGAUGACGGCCUUCGGGUUGUAAACCGCUUUCGCCUGUGACGAAGCGUGAGUGACGGUAAUGAGUAAAGAAGCACCGGCUAACUACGUG